rnacentral:rRNA from 1 species
CGAGCACGCGCGUGUGGCAUAUCAAUAAGCGGAGGAAAAGAAACUAACAAGGAUUCCCUUAGUAACGGCGAGUGAAGCGGGAAGAGCUCAAAUUUGAAAUCUUCAAGGUUCUACCUUGACGAAUUGUAGUUUAUAGAAGUGUUUUCUGUUAGUAGGAGUGGCAAAAGUUCUUUGGAAUAGGACAUCAUAGAGGGUGAGAAUCCCGUAUUUGGUCAUUCUUCCUAGCGUUGUGAUACACUUUCAACGAGUCGGAUUGUUUGGGAAUGCAGUCCAAAAUGGGUGGUAAAUUUCAUCUAAAGCUAAAUAUUGGCGAGAGACCGAUAGCGAACAAGUACCGUGAGGGAAAGAUGAAAAGAACUUUGAAAAGAGAGUUAAACAGUACGUGAAAUUGUCAAAAGGGAAGCGUUUGACACCAGUGUUGUUUCUCCGAAAAUCAAUUACGAAUGUUUUGUUUUUGAGGAGUUAUGACUUCAUCGGCUUGCUUCUCUCUUUACGAAACUUUCUUAAUGCACUUUUCGGUUAACAAGUCAACAUCAAUUUCUUUUGUUGUAAAAGGGUAUGAGGAAGGUGGCUUUCUUUUCGGAGAAAGUGUUUAUAGCCUUGUGCCUCUAGCAAUCGGAGAGAUUGAGGUCUGCAGCGUAGAUCCUUCGGGGUUAGAUACGUUUGUGCUAAGUUAUAGCUUUUCAUAGACAACUUGUUGACUAUGUUUAGUCUUGUAGCUUACUCGCUUACUGCUAUUUUACCUACGCUUAGGAUGUUGAGUAGCGACAUACGCAC